rnacentral:misc_RNA from 1 species
GAAAUGCGAUAAGUAAUGUGAAUUGCAGAAUUCAGUGAAUCAUCGAAUCUUUGAACGCACCUUGCGCUCCUUGGUAUUCCUUGGAGCAUGCCUGUUUGAGUAUCAUGAAAUCUUCAAAGUAAAUCUUUUGUUAACUCAAUUGGUUUCUACUUUGGUAUUGGAGGUCUUUGCAGCUUCACACCUGCUCCUCUUUGUUCAUUAGCUGGAUCUCAGUGUUAUGCUUGGUUCCACUCGGCGUGAUAAGUUAUCUAUCGCUGAGGACACUGUUAAGGUGGCCAAGGUAAAUGCAGAUGAACCGCUUCUAAUAGUCCAUUGACUUGGACAAUACUUUUAUGAUCUGAUCUCAAAUCAGGUAGGACUACCCGCUGAACUUAAGC